AUGAUAUUUUUUAACAAACAAAGUUCAGCAUCUUUAAACCACAUCGUGUUGAGGAAGUUUUAAUGUACUUUAUACCCCCAAGUUUGAAAAUUCUGGGCUAUAUAGUUAAUAAUGAUAUUAUUGUGAUGCUGGGGGAGACAAUAGAGAGGUUGUUUCUCUAUGUCCUAUCCUGUUAGUUAGCUUCAGGAAUAAAUGACCUUUUGGAAAGUGGUCUAAUUCUGUUCAGAAAUUGACUGUGCAUUUCUGUUCACCAGAUGAUCUGCAAGCCCCUUGCUCAUGUAAAUAGUCUCAUUUACUAGCAUAAGAUGUUGUCAAAUUGUGCCUUGUUUUUUUUGGUGUCUGAUAUUCCAAAUUGCAAACAAAACAACAUGCACACCUCUGAUCCUGCAUACAUAAUUAAAACAACUCACAGAAGAAAGAACUAUGAAGCAGGGCUGUCUUUUUUUUUUUUUUUAAUUUUACAACUUUUCAAAGUUGUAUUUAUUUUUCACAACAUGGGACUUAAUAGAGAAAAAGACUGUAAAAGCUUCUCAUUAUAACAGACAAAAAGUACAUUCUUCUUUGUUUCAAAGGUCUGUUAAUAUACCCAUGGUAGUUGUUGCUCUUUGCACUUGAAUUGUGAAUCUUGUUAGAAGUAAUAAACAUUGGUCAUUUAACAAUUGCCAAGUAUUCUGUAAGGAAUUGGCAGAUAAACCGUCGAAUUAUUUAACAGUGUGUUGACAAUAUUGAUAGUUGAGAUGUUUUGCUAACGCUACUAGGUCUUCCUGAGGAGUGAUUUUGAAAGGCAAUGGAAAACUUGAAGAUUUAAAAAAAAAAAAAAAAAAAAAAAAAAAAAGUGUUCUAUGUAUGUAGAAGUAACAGGAAGGGAAGAAAGACCAGUAAGGACAAACUCUUUACUGUAGUGAAACUAGUGAGCUUUCAUAAAUGACUUUUUCAAGAAUGGCUGUCCCUGUGUUUUAUUUAUAUUAUAUACAUAUAUAAUAUAAAUAAUGCAGUCAAAAUCUUUAACUCAGUCAGGAUUUAUGCCGGCAUUUUUCUCAUGUUGUAUAGUGCUCUGUCAUUUAGCAGUGAAAAGUAAGCUUCCAUUGUUCAUUUUAGAAUCUACAAGUGCUUUACAAAUAGCUAAUUAAGCCUCACAGCCCCUCUUGAGGGACAUUAGCAUUAAUAACAUUGAAUAUGCGUGGGAGAUAUUGAUAGUAACUUGUCCAAAGUUAAAUUGCUAGUCAGUGACAAAAGUAGGACUAGAAUGCAGAACACCUGGCUCCCAGACCCAAUGCUACAAUGAAUUCUCCAUCACUUGAAGUCUUUAAAUCAAAACUAGAUAUCUUUCUGAAAGAUAUGAGAGAAUGCUGUAGGUCAAACAGAAGAUGUGGGCUUGGUGUAGAGCCAAAAUCACUGGGUGAGGUUCGAUGGCCUGUGUUAUGCAGGAGGUCAGUCUAGAUGAUCAUAUUGGUUCCCCAGGCCUUAAAAAUCUAUGAAAAUGCAAAGUACCACAAGAGUCCAUAAUGAGCUGGCUGUUAGCCCAAUUUCUAGUGUACGAGGGUCCAUUGCACAAAAUCAUCCCAGCUGUCGGCACUGAUUGACAACCUGGUUGGUUGGCCAGCUGACUAGAGGGAAAUUGAGCUGUCUUUUCACUCAUGCAGAUAUUUCCUCCAAAUCAAGGAUGUGAUUGUUGCCUGUUCUGGAACCUCUUCUAUGACCACACAGAGAGCUUUAAUCUUCAGGGACACUCCUCUGUAUGAUAACACUCUUACAACAUAUUUUUGAAAUCUUCUUUGGUUUUUUAUUUAGGAUCUUUAUUUUCUUUACAAUAAAAUGGCUCAUUGAGGAUGAUAAUACUUUGCUAGCAUCUAUCUAGCACAACCCUAAAUCUUUCCCUGACAUAAAGAAAAUAUUGUUGGUUUAAGGGUAACUAGUCUUGGACAACUGGUUAAAGUAAUCGUACCCAGUUACAGGCUUGAUUGGACCAGAACUGGUUGAGGUUGUAGACAAGUGACUCAUAGACUCUUCUGUGCAGGAGUAGCACCUAAUGGCAUGAGUGAUGCAUUAGUUUUAACGUAUAAAACUGGCAAAAACAAAAAUGUGCGUGGGGCAUAUCCCACAAUCUGACAAGAACUCUGCUUAAUUGUAAAUUUAUUUCCCAAAGUAACUAGCUUCUAUGAGACACGUGGGAGUAGUUUAGGUCAAGGCUCAUUUUCCUAACAGUUUUGUAUGUGGAUGUGUGGGUAACGUACACUGUUUUCCUAAUUAUAAGGGGAAAGCAUAAAUUAGCACAUUGUAUGUAGUGUAAACGAAGCAUUUCACUGACACAUACCAGGUGGAAUGGGGAAAUACUGAAUGCUCAGAAUGCUGUUGGGCCCAAGCAGAAAUGUAUUAGGGAAACAUCAAAGAUCUGUUCCUGAGAUAUAGACCCUUUCACCUCUAGAUCAUUGGUUCAAAUCCAGUCCCAGUUGAUGGCAAUAGAGUGAUUAUCUGAAGGCUGUCUAAUGAACUAUGUGAAAUAUAUUUUGUGGUCUCAGUCCAGUUCCCAGUGGACAAUACUCCAAACCCCCACCUUUUUGGCAGUCUCAUGAGAAAGGCCAUGAAAAUCAGUUACCCUGUUAUCCAUAGGUGUGGCCCCUCCAGAUCAGAGUAAAGUCUUAUUGUUUGGGCAGCGUGGCACACAUUGAUCCUGUCCUACAGAUAAAGAACCGACUGCCCUAGGGAAUCCAAUCAAGCACGUUUCAGGAGCAGAAAAGUCACACACAAAAUGCUUGAGAAAAGAGUUGAGGAUGAAUCAAUUCCUCAUAAACAGAAAUGAAAAUCUGGGACCCAAAUGUGUAGAGAGGCCAUACCUCACUUCCAGAGGUUCCAGUGUUGGGUGCUCAGCAAGUCUGGUCACUUGGGAGUAAGAUGCUACCUGGAGAAGGCAUGGAGAUGAGAAAACAAAGAGGUUGGGAAUUUCUUGAAACCAGGAGACUGGAGAAUUUGUAGAGGCCAAAGAACAGGAGAGAAGUAGCCUCAGAAGUGAGUGAAACAGGAGAUUGGGAUAUACUUGUAAUUUUUGUAGUAGUUUGCAUGGCCUUGGUUUUAGCACUUGGAGGGGCUGGGAUUAGCCAGAGUGCUGGAGAUUCAAAAGGAUAUUGGAAGUGUGUUUCCAGUGGGAUUAGGCAGCUGAACAGGUAUCUCGAAGGAACUGUGUAAUGUGUGUGGGGUUUUUUUUGUUUUUUGUUUUUGUUUUUUUAAACAAUUGGGGAAAUAAUAGGUUUUGUAAAACUGAGUUUAUAAAACCUGUUAUGAACGGAAUAGCUUUAAUACACUGAUAUAUACACAAUUUUAAUUAACAGCAUUUCUUUUUUAGGAAAAAGUCAAAGGAAAUUUUAACAUAAUCCUGGAGCCGGUGUAAAAUGCUCAGGACAGGAACCUUGUAAUAUUUUAUACUUCUUAAAGCAUCCUGCACUUCAGUGGUAUCUUAUGAAUAAUUUUGUUAACCUACUGGUGCUUGCUAGCGCAAAAGAGCCAGAGAGUGAAAUUAUGUAUCUAAACUGAAUUUUUAUUUGGGUGGAGGAAGUGUUCUUUGGUUUUGUGAAAAAUGUAGCUAGGGCAUUAUUUUUAUUAAUCUGACUUUCACCUUGAUAGUGUACCUUGAGCACCGAGAUAACUUGGGUGUAAUAUACUUUAUUUUGCUUUAUUUCAAGAGGGGCAAUGGAGAAGGAGGGAGGCUCAGAACUUGUUAAAGGAAAGGAUAAAGGAAGUUCUUCUGGUCUGAAUCCCUCUAAAAUUAUAAUCUCAACAAGUAACCUUAAGUGUACAAAAUUACUUAUCUGUACUAGCUAUGCUGCCACUUGUAGGCAGUUUGGUCAGGUUUAUUGCUGUUAUGCAGAUACAUAUAGAAAUCUCUCUUUCUUCUGGACCUAGACCAGUAGCAUCUAUUUUCUUUGUUUCUUUAGUUCUGAAGAAUGAGAUAUUAAUCAUGCCUAAAUACUGCUAAGACUUUAUUGCUGUAGGCCCAGACUAAUUGAAGUUCAUUUGUAGGUUUUGCUAAUGUAAAACUUAGUGUACUCCUUUAGGAGAACCUCAUCACUCUCCUGUAUGGAAAAGCUCCCAUGGACUUCAGCAAGAGUUGGAUUAAGCCCUUGGUAUGUUGCUGCCAUCACUUGCAAAAUUUUUGGAUAGCCCUGAAUGCUGGCCGGUUAAUGUAUACCGUUCCCCAGUUCAGUGCUCCAGACUAUCUUUGCCUUUGUCAUGAACAGGAUUAAUCAUUUUAGUGCUUCUUAGAGAAACAAGGUGUUUGAGGUAAUACCUUUUAUUGGACCAACAUCAGAUAUUACCUCAACCACCUUGUGUCUCUAAUAUCCUGGGGCUAACACCGCUACAACAGUAGUACUUUUUGUCAGCCUUCUUGCCAAUACUCCAUAUCUUUUCAAACAGAUCCAAAACACUCCAGCCACGUAUCUUGUUCUGAUUUCCACUCUCCUGGGCUGUGUACUUUGCAUUGACUUGGUGUCGUGUUUUCUUUUCAUUUGUUAAAUCAAUGUUUGUUUUUAACUACAAACCUACCAUGAUCACACAUGAAGCACAUAGACAUCCUUGCCGUGUAGAUUCCAGCCCAAACUCUCAAGCCCUCCUCUAGAUUGCCAGCUGUAUCCAAGUCCUCAAUUACUGUACAAGAAGAAAAAUUUGCAGGAUUUAUAUACCUUGCCCUCUCUUUCUAUAACACUCUACUCUUGCCCUCAUGAGGGAGACUCCCACUUGACAUGGAUUUAGAAGACUGUUUAAACUGUCUUUUAAAAUACUGAAUGUAGUUGGGUUCAUUGUACAAUAUAACUUUUUUUUUUUUAGAUGGCACUCGAUCUUUGGCUUCUUUGCAUCAUUAAAAGUAUUUUGUGUAAUAAUUAUAAUUUGCGUGACUCUUCCAUUCACUGUUUUACUGAUGAAAUGUCUGCUUUUUGAUUAUUCAACUUCGUCCACUGGUAACCUGCAGUGAUUAAAUAAGCUUUGCAAUGUAUAUACUAAAUGUAUCAUUUUGUGUAUUUAUAAUGUUUUGUUACAUUUGAUAAGGAUAACAUCCUGUUCAGCAAUUGUGAAUAACUAAAGGAUAAAGGUCUUCAUAUUAACAAUGUUUAUAAAGAAACAGGUGAAAACUGCCCAUUUAAUGAUUACAGAUCAUUAAUAUCAAUGCAGGGUCAGAAUGUUUUUCUUUUAUAAAGGGGACUAAAAAUGAAGCACUUUGACGUUA